rnacentral:rRNA from 1 species
AUACGGAGGGUGCGAGCGUUGUUCGGAAUUAUUGGGCGUAAAGAGCAUGUAGGCGGUCUGUUAAGUCUGGUGUGAAAGCCCGGGGCUCAACCCCGGAAGUGCAUUGGAUACUGGCAGACUUGAGUAUGGGAGAGGAAAGCGGAAUUCCGAGUGUAGGAGUGAAAUCCGUAGAUAUUCGGAGGAACACCAGUGGCGAAGGCGGCUUUCUGGACCAAUACUGACGCUGAGAUGCGAAAGCGUGGGGAGCAAACAGGAUUAGAUACCCGAGUAGUCC